UGAAGUUUCCCUCAUGAUAGCUGGAGUACAUAAUGAAGCUGUCAUAUUCGGUAAAGCGGAUGAUUAGAGGAAUUGUGGGACGAAACGUCUUCAACCUAUUCUCAAACUUCUGAUAAGUAUGUCGUCUCGUCUGCUUGAAUGAAACAUAGAUAUUGAAUGUGUGCUUCAAGUGGGCCAUUUUUGGUGAGCAGAAAUGGCGCUGUAGAAUGAACGAAACGUUUUGCACAAGAAAAUUCUCAAAAAUAAGUCACUAUGCAGAAGCCACUUUUAUAAGGAUUAAUUUAAGUUAAUAA
rnacentral:ncRNA from 1 species